rnacentral:rRNA from 1 species
CAGCAGCCGCGGUAAUACGUAGGGGGCUAGCGUUAUCCGGAUUUACUGGGCGUAAAGGGUGCGUAGGUGGUCCUUCAAGUCGGUGGUUAAAGGCUACGGCUCAACCGUAGUAAGCCGCCGAAACUGGAGGACUUGAGUGCAGGAGAGGAAAGUGGAAUUCCCAGUGUAGCGGUGAAAUGCGUAGAUAUUGGGAGGAACACCAGUAGCGAAGGCGGCUUUCUGGACUGCAACUGACACUGAGGCACGAAAGCGUGGGUAGCAAACAGGAUUAGAUACCCUGGUAGUCCACGCUGUAAACGAUGAGUACUAGGUGUCGGGGGUUACCCCCCUCGGUGCCGCAGCUAACGCAUUAAGUACUCCGCCUGGGGAGUACGCACGCAAGUGUGAAACUCAAAGGAAUUGACGGGGACCCGCACAAGUAGCGGAGCAUGUGGUUUAAUUCGAAGCAACGCGAAGAACCUUACCUAAGCUUGACAUCCCUCGGACAGGUGUUUAAUCACACCCUUCCUUCGGGACUGAGGUGACAGGUGGUGCAUGGUUGUCGUCAGCUCGUGUCGUGAGAUGUUGGGUUAAGUCCCGCAACGAGCGCAACCCUUGUCUUUAGUUGCCAGCAUUCAGUUGGGCACUCUAGAGAGACUGCCAGGGAUAACCUGGAGGAAGGUGGGGAUGACGUCAAAUCAUCAUGCCCCUUAUGCUUAGGGCUACACACGUGCUACAAUGGGUGGUACAGAGGGUUGCCAAACCGUGAGGUGGAGCCAAUCCCUUAAAGCCAUUCUCAGUUCGGAUUGUAGGCUGGAACUCGCCUACAUGAAGCUGGAGUUACUAGUAAUCGCAGAUCAGAAUGCUGCGGUGAAUGCGUUCCCGGGUCUUGUACACACCGCCCGUCACACCACGGGAGUCGGAAACACCCGAAGCCGAUUAUCCAACCGCAAGGAGGAAGUCGUCGAAGGUGGCGUCGAUAACUGGGGUGAAGUCGUAACAAGGUAGCCGU